rnacentral:rRNA from 1 species
AUUGAACGCUGGCGGCAGGCCUAACACAUGCAAGUCGAGCGAGAGGCGCACGGGUGUGUAAUGUAUGGGAAACUGCCCGUUGGAGGGGGAUAACUACUGGAAAAGGUAGCUAAUACCGCAUACCCUCAGAUGUGCCCAGAUGGGAUUAGCUAGUAGGUGGGGUAACGGCUCACCUAGGCGACGAUCCCUAGCUGGGCUGAGAGGAUGACCAGCCACACGGGAACGGAGACACGGUCCAGACUCCUACGGGAGGCAGCAGUGGGGAAUAUUGCACAAUGGGCGCAAGCCUGAUGCAGCCAUGCCGCGUGUGUGAAGAAGGCCUUCGGGUUGUAAAGCACUUUCAGCGGGGAGGCGUUACCCGCAGAAGAAGCACCGGCUAACUCCGUGCCAGCCGCCGCGGUAAUAC